rnacentral:rRNA from 1 species
CGCUAUCACGUCCUACGGGAGGCAGCAGUGGGGAAUAUUGCACAAUGGGCGCAAGCCUGAUGCAGCCAUGCCGCGUGUGUGAAGAAGGCCUUCGGGUUGUAAAGCACUUUCAGUCGUGAGGAAGGUAGUGUAGUUAAUAGCUGCAUUAUUUGACGUUAGCGACAGAAGAAGCACCGGCUAACUCCGUGCCAGCAGCCGCGGUAAUACGGAGGGUGCGAGCGUUAAUCGGAAUUACUGGGCGUAAAGCGCAUGCAGGUGGUUUGUUAAGUCAGAUGUGAAAGCCCGGGGCUCAACCUCGGAAUUGCAUUUGAAACUGGCAGACUAGAGUACUGUAGAGGGGGUAGAAUUUCAGGUGUAGCGGUGAAAAUGCGUAGAGAUCUGAAGGAAUACCGGUGGCGAAGGCGGCCCCCUGGACAGAUACUGACACUCAGAUGCGAAAGCGUGGGGAGCAAACAGGAUUAGAUACCCUGGUAG